CAGCCCGCGGUAAUACAGAGGGUGCGAGCGUUAAUCGGAUUUACUGGGCGUAAAGCGUGCGUAGGCGGCUUCUUAAGUCGGAUGUGAAAUCCCUGAGCUUAACUUAGGAAUUGCAUUCGAUACUGGGAAGCUAGAGUAUGGGAGAGGAUGGUAGAAUUCCAGGUGUAGCGGUGAAAUGCGUAGAGAUCUGGAGGAAUACCGAUGGCGAAGGCAGCCAUCUGGCCUAAUACUGACGCUGAGGUACGAAAGCAUGGGGAGCAAACAGGAUAAGAUACCCCCGUAGUCCCUGUCUCUUAUACAC
rnacentral:rRNA from 1 species